rnacentral:rRNA from 1 species
GAUGAACGCUGGCGGCGUGCCUAAUACAUGCAAGUCGAGCGAACAGAUGAGGAGCUUGCUCCUCUGACGUUAGCGGCGGACGGGUGAGUAACACGUGGAUAACCUACCUAUAAGACUGGGAUAACUUCGGGAAACCGGAGCUAAUACCGGAUAAUAUAUUGAACCGCAUGGUUCAAUAGUGAAAGACGGUUUUGCUGUCACUUAUAGAUGGAUCCGCGCCGCAUUAGCUAGUUGGUAAGGUAACGGCUUACCAAGGCAACGAUGCGUAGCCGACCUGAGAGGGUGAUAGGCCACACUGGAACUGAGACACGGUCCAGACUACUACGGGAGGCAGCAGUAGGGAAUCUUCCGCAAUGGGCGAAAGCCUGACGGAGCAACGCCGCGUGAGUGAUGAAGGUCUUCGGAUCGUAAAACUCUGUUAUUAGGGAAGAACAAAUGUGUAAGUAACUAUGCACGUCUUGACGGUACCUAAUCAGAAAGCCACGGCUAACUACGUG